rnacentral:lncRNA from 1 species
AUUUCCUCUGGUUCUUUUGUUCUCUCCCUCUGUUUAAUAUAAUUCUUACCUCAAUUUAAUUUAAUUCUUAUUGAUUUCUAUAAAUAUAUAUUUUAGGUCUAUACAGUUUCAUUUUUAUUGGUUCAUGUAAAUAUAUAUAUAUAUAUAUAUAUAUAUAUUGUAUAUUUUGUUGAGGUUGCCUGCCCUUCAUAUGAGGGUUCCGUUAACAAUUAUCCGCGUCCUGGACGUCCUUUGGUUGGUGUUUUUUUGGGAGACCGGGGCGGACCAGGAACGGAGAAAGAUUUACACAGUAAGAGAUAGAAACAGGAAAUCGGAGAAAGAAAGCAAUAGAGUAGGUUCAGUGCACAUUUUAUUUCUCUCAUCUAUCUCAUCUAAUUCUUAUUGAUUUCUAUAAACAUAUUUUUUUUAUAUAUAUUUUUAUUAGGUUUGUAUAGUUUCAAUUUGUUAGGUCUUGCUAGUUUUUGGUGAAGGAUAGCUUGCUCGAAGCCGCUUCAAGCAGUACUACUUGGGGGAACCUUUCCAGGUAUGGCGGCUGUACGCUUCUUUUUAUUUUUUAUGAAUUUGCUCCAUUUUAUGCCGAUUUUCUGGGUAUUUAAUUGAUGACUGAUGUGGAAAUUAAGUUUUAAAUGGUUGUUUUUACUGAAUCUGAAUUUGUUUUCAUACUUAACUCUGUUUUGGUUUUCUACUAAUACCUUUUAUUUUCCUCUAAAUACCUAACGUAUGGACUGUUCUUGGUUGGAUACUUGCUAAUCAUGCCACUGCUCUCUGCUUGUCCCACUUACGUUCAAGCACUUGGAUAACACAAUGAAAUGUGGCUUCCUCUAACUGUUUGUCUGUACCACUUUUGUGUUUUACUUUCUUCAUAUCAGAAGAUUAAAAUGAUUUUUGUGCCUUUUCUAUGAUAAAUGAAAAAUAAUUAUUCCCCUUUUUACCCCUAUUUGAUUCAGCGGAUGGUUUGUUUCACGUUCUAUUUUCCAGGGGACCUAAUAAGUUUGAAACUGUUUAUAAUGUUUUGUUUUUCGUAUUUUAGUAUCAACACACCCAACUCUCAUAUAAGGCGUUGCAAUUGAUAGAAUCAAAGGCUGGACAUGGAUCAAAUUGCUGGCCCAAGCAGUAGACGAG